AAAUUGAAGAGUUUGAUCAUGGCUCAGAUUGAACGCUGGCGGCAGGCCUAACACAUGCAAGUCGAACGGUAACAGGAAGCAGCUUGCUGCUUUGCUGACGAGUGGCGGACGGGUGAGUAAUGUCUGGGAAACUGCCUGAUGGAGGGGGAUAACUACUGGAAACGGUGGCUAAUACCGCAUAAU
rnacentral:rRNA from 1 species